UCGGCUCACAACUGGGGGCCAAUCCCGAACACAAGCCUCAAAUUCCGAGAGUUCGCUGCCUGCUGUCCUCAUCUGAUUGUUUAUGGAGCUCAGGAUUGUGCCCUAAACUGUGCUCGCACUCUGAGAGAGUUGAGCACGGAACUCCAUAACCUCUCACCGAGGCGGUAGUCAUCGAGGCGCGCUUCGUGGAUUGAUGGGCCUGUGUUUGGGAUUGGCCCCAUGUUGAGAGUUGG